UGAUAACCAAGUAGCAACCAUUUUUUGUGCUUUGCAGGCUGCUUUUCACGAACCUUGGUGGUGAACGCCGGUUUGCAUCUAUUGUAGCCAAGAGACUUGAAUCUCUUGGAGCAUUAACGCAGGGAGACCGGAGGGCUGGACCAUCUCUUAGCGCAUACAAUUAUGAUAGUGUUUAUGGGAAGAGAGCCCUGAUGGUAAUGUAUAAAGGACUUAUGGAACAGGAAUCUUUGCCAGUUGUACCACCAGGGUGUUCAUCUGAAGAACCAGAGACAAUUCGAGAUUUUAUUCUGAAGGGAAAGGCUGGUCUUAUAUCUGUUGGAAUAAUUCGGGAUUCAGUUCU